CAUGGGAAAUGGGACAUUUUUCUAAAUAGAGGAAAAUAUUUAAGGCAAAAAUCCUGAUAGAAAAAUCAAGAAUACAAAUUGAGAGCUUGGGAAAUUCAUCUCUCCACCAUCUCCAAUCUGAGGACGGGGGAUGUUACACUAACCUUCACGUACAGCUGUGAUGAAGGAUGAAGUGUUGACUGAUGCAGGGAUGGAAUUUUGUUUCUAGAACAUUGAUCCUUGUGUCGUACUUUGCACAGAGGAGCAUGCUUUCUAGAGAAAUGCACACACACUCCCAAAGGCAUUCACCAUCACUCCACACGGACUCUCUCCUCCAUAUCUCCCCACCCUGAUGCACCCCUAUUCCUAUUUAAAUGACAUCACUGCUUCUGGGAACUGCAGUGGAUGGCCACAGUUGUUGACUAAACUCUUCAUUUUUUUACAUCAAACUGCCCAACCUCAUUUCCAGCAGGAAGCUCAAACCAGGGUAGUUCUCCAGCAAAAGUAGGGAGGAAAGUGUCACCUUUCUCAAAGCUAAGAUCUUUCCUUAGCCAAUGGGAGAUCCCAGAGUGCAUACUGUAGAGCUGAAUCGCUGAGUGUGUCUGCAGAGAGAAAGGAAAACACUGUGAGCCUCAGACCAUGCUGUGUCCUGUGUUCAUGGGUCUUUUCUUCACUUGGUGACAUUAGAAAUCUGGUUGGGAGAUAGUGCUCGAGGCAAUGGCCCCCAAAUAAAGCCUGGAAGACACUUGAGGAAAUGCACAAGAGUGUUGUAUGAGAUUUUCAAAAAUGAUUUUUGGUUGCAAAGUCACCGCCAUUUUCAAGAAUGCAUUUCUCCUGAGGACAAUGCUCUCUGCCAUGCAGUUUAUCACUAACACUGUCAUCUAUGAGUGCCAUCUGGAACAAGUUCCAAGUUGGCAAUGAAUGGGCUCUCACAUACCUCUGCCCACCAAGAAAUUCUGUGGCUCAUCUGUAAAGUCCGUGGUAAGAAUUACAUAUCUUAAUUCAGAGAAAAUAGAAAGAAACCAAAAUAAAUAAAAUUCCCAUCUCAGACAAAGAAAGAAGACUUUACCGAGUGUGCCGCCUGGAUCAGGUCCCAAGAAUCCAGCGAGGGAAACCACCAAUUCCGGCGGUAGAAGAAGCCUAGGAAACGUAGAGUCACUGUCAGCCGUGGGAGCUGCUGAAGGACCUCUGGCAGCCUUGGGUGCUGAGGACACAGGGCUGGUGUGUGUGGAGAAGGGAGGUAGAUCCGAAGGUUGGACUGCCAGCAGCUAUUUUGUACCACAAGGAGAUGAAGACGGGAGCGAUGUGCUAUUUGUGGCACUGCAUAAAUAUGACACCCUUUCAGCCACAGACAACCUCGAGAUUUAUUUUGUGUGUGUGUGAUGGGAAAAUAAAGUUCAAAGCUCUUCGUUGUUUAA